rnacentral:rRNA from 1 species
AGCGAACGCUGGCGGCAGGCUUAACACAUGCAAGUCGAGCGGGCACUUUCGGGUAUCAGCGGCGGACGGGUGAGUAACGCGUGGGAACGUGCCCUCUGGUUCGGAAUAACUCAGUGAAACUUGAGCUAAUACCGGAUACGCCCUUUUGGGGAAAGGCUUGCUGCCGGAGGAUCGGGCCGCGUCUGAUUAGCUGGUUGGUGAGGUAACGGCUCACCAAGGCGACGAUCAGUAGCUGGUAUGAGAGGAUGAUCAGCCACACUGCGACUGAGACACGGCCCAGACUCCUACGGAUGGCAGCAGGGGGGAAUAUUGGACAACGGGCGCAAGACUGAUCCAGCCGUGCCGCGUGAGUGAUGAAGGGCUUAGGGUUGUAAAGCUCUUUUAUCCGGGACGAUAAGGACGGUACCGGAGGAAUAAGCCCCGGCUAACUUCGU